rnacentral:rRNA from 1 species
UCACUAAGAGAUGGUCCCGCGGUGCAUNAGCUAGUUGGUAAGGUAAUGGCUUACCAAGGCGAUGAUGCAUAGCCGAGUUGAGAGACUGAUCGGCCACAAUGGGACUGAGACACGGCCCAUACUCCUACGGGAGGCAGCAGUAGGGAAUCUUCCACAAUGGGCGAAAGCCUGAUGGAGCAACGCCGCGUGUGUGAUGAAGGGUUUCGGCUCGUAAAACACUGUUGUAAGAGAAGAAUGACAUUGAGAGUAACUGUUCAAUGUGUGACGGUAUCUUACCAGAAAGGAACGGCUAAAUACGUGCCAGCAGCCGCGGUAAUACGUAUGUUCCAAGCGUUAUCCGGAUUUAUUGGGCGUAAAGCGAGCGCAGACGGUUAUUUAAGUCUGAAGUGAAAGCCCUCAGCUCAACUGAGGAAUUGCUUUGGAAACUGGAUGACUUGAGUGCAGUAGAGGAAAGUGGAACUCCAUGUGUAGCGGUGAAAUGCGUAGAUAU